rnacentral:rRNA from 1 species
UUCUACGGCCAAGCUACGCUGAAUAAGCUCAAUCCCGUCUGAUCUCGAAAGCUAAUAAGCAGGGUGGGGCCUGGUUAGUACUUGGAUGGGAGACCACCUAGGAAGACCAGGUGCUGUAGGCA